rnacentral:rRNA from 1 species
UACGGGGGGAGCAAGCGUUGUUCGGAUUUACUGGGCGUAAAGGGCGCGUAGGCGGCCAGCACAAGUCGGUUGUGAAAUCUCCGAGCUUAACUCGGAAAGGUCAACUGAUACUGUGCGGCUAGAGUGCAGAAGGGGCAACUGGAAUUCUUGGUGUAGCGGUGAAAUGCGUAGAUAUCAAGAGGAACACCUGCGGCGAAGGCGGGUUGCUGGGCUGACACGUGACGCUGAGGCGCGAAAGCUAGGGGAGCGAACGGG